rnacentral:lncRNA from 1 species
GCCAAAUGCUGAUACAAGAAACCAAAUAAGGUACACUUGGAUAGACUUAACCAUGAUCAUGAAAUCAACAGUGAAGAGACACCAUAAGUCAGGCACAGUGACAAAUGCCUGUAACCUUAGCACUCGGGAGAGUGGGGCAGGGGGAUCACCAUGAGUUCAAGGCCAGCCUGAUCUACAUAGUGAGGUCCUGUCUCAAAAGAGGGAGAGAGAGAGAGAGACACAGAGAGAGUGACCAUAUAAGAUGCAGUCCUUGUCAAACAGCCGAGCACCAAACUGGCUGGCUCUAAGUUGUGACAG